UCCAGCUCAACUUCCUGAAGCUGGGCUUUGCGAGUAAGAUUUUGAACCUGUGCUCUCAAUUUAAUAACCUCUUGGCUGAGAACUCUCAUUUGUUCUUUUAGCAUCAUCUACAACAAUUUUUGGUGAGGUUAGUCCACCCAGGGUUGGGGUUGGUGUCGUUGAGCGAGGUGGGCUGGGCCUUCUUGAUAUAGGUGAUGUUGCUCGAGAAACAAUACGUGAUCCAGGAACAGAUGCUGAGAAAAAUUUUUUGGAUGAACCAAACAUUGGAUUAAAGGAUUUAGAAAUAUUAAGUGCUCCCCUUUGGGAACCUCCAUUAGGAACUGGUGAAACACGACUACUGUUGAAUUCCAGUUUCUUGUUUCUCUUGGAUCGACUUUCUGCCUGCUUCAAGGAUUCCAUUGAUGAAAACCUAGCAAGUUGUGCACGAAAUCUAGAGUCCAACUUCUCAUCUUUUUCAAUGAACUCAUUAGACCCAUGAUUCACACUACCUCUCCUAUUUACGAAAGACUGAGAUGAAGCAUCAGUUGCAAUGGCUUUCCUUAGUUUAUUAGAGCAAUUAUCACAGACACGAUAAGAUUUAUUAGGAUUCGGUGCCAUGGAAGCCUUAAGGGACUUUUUGCUGCUACAUGAAUGACAAAAAACUAGUCCACAAUGAUAACAAUUGUGUCGUUUUCUUUUGAAAUUAAAUGGAAGGCGGCAGCCAGAACACAUAGACUGAUCAACACCAGAAACCCACUUAUGAAGACAGAUAGCUGCA
rnacentral:misc_RNA from 1 species